GGAGAGGUGGGUGAGUGGCUGAAACCAACAGUUUGCUAAACUGUCGUAGUGAGAAAUCGUUACCGGGGGUUCGAAUCCCCCCCCCUCCG
rnacentral:tRNA from 1 species